rnacentral:tRNA from 1 species
ACCUGGGUGGCUCAGUCAGUUGAGCGUCUGACUUCGGCUCAGGGAAUGAUCUCGUGAUCUGUGGGUUCGAGCCCCACAUCAGGCU